AGUCCACGGGGUCCCAAAGAGUCUGACACGACUGAGCGACUUCACUUUCCGUGGUUAUCACUGUGAGUCUGCCUGUCAGAAUGAAGAUCUCUUCCAAGUGUGGGAUCAGGGGAAGAAAGACAUCAUGGGAGGAGCCAGUGUGCCCAGCCCGCAGUCCGGAGAACGGAGCCCGGACUGCAGGGGACAUGGGGCUGCACCUUCUUGUCAGGGGCAACCUGCAGCCUAGCCCGGGUCCAGUUCCUCCCGGUCAGCGACAUUCAUGGAGUGUCUGCUGGGUGCACGGAGUCACCUUACGGGUCAAAAAAGAAAGGAGUCUGAGUGCUCCCGUGGCCCUUCCAUGCCAGUGAAGUGGGAAUAGAGGAAUGGCAGAGAGAUAACAUGAAAUAAAAGAAGACCCACUAGUUCAUUUUUAAAAAUUAAAUCCUAUUGAAACUGGUGUAUAGCAGGGUGUUUUUUUAUUUAAGAAAGCUCAUAUCUCCCCAUCAAAAAAUUAAGCCAUGAAUGAAUAUACGAAAAUUAUAAAAUGAAAAAACGACUUCUAAUCUUUAACACAGUCCAGUACUUGUUCAGAUUUUUAAAUAUAUCGUUUUCACGGCAUGGCAAGAGUGGGAAGACUAGGGGAUCUGCAGCACGUAAAACUACGUAUGUCAGCUCCUUGACAGAGAAAGCAAGACAGCUUAGGUUGCAUAAGGAGGGGAGAGGGGCAGGGUUCCACCUUCAGGGACCAGAGGAUGACUGUGUGGCGGGGGUCGUCAUUGCGCAUCUCGCCCAGCAGAGGGCAGGCGUGUGGGACUCCUCUUCAGCUUUCUCUCCUGCCCUGGGAGGGCAGACUGGCAGUUUGGGGCUGCUCCAGAAGCAGACAGCUGGGCAGACCUUGCUUUGCAGGAGGGGCAGGCAAACACUGGCAGGUGCUGCAUGGCAGAUGCUUAUUAUCACGAUCGCCAUUCAAAGGACCUGCUGUGGUGGCCAAAUUUACCACUUCACCUGGGUACAAGAGGCCCUUUUUCACACUUGUCCCAGGAGACAAAAACUUAUUUAUGGGUUUGCAAUCACACCUCUGGAAAUCUAGGCAAGGACCCACUUAAAAUGUCAAGGCCUGGCAUUUAAAUUGCAAUUGUGCAGAUUUUGUUUAAAGAUAGAGAAGGAAAAAAAAAAGAAAAAACGUGAGGGCUGAGCGCCAAGGCAGCACACAGACCCAGGUGUGGCUUCCAUAUUAUGGUUACCAGCAUUCAAAUCCACCCAGACUUAUUAGACAACUGGUGCUGCGGCAGCUUAUCAACCAGCAUACGGGGCCUUUAUUUCUACAUUAAUCACACAUUCUGUGUAUACUCUCUUCCCAAUCAAGGCGAAUAAUUGGGGGCUUUGUUUCUCAGCGUGGAGACAUGGCAUAAACUCAGUGUUCUUUUACUGAAAAAUGUUUGCCUCCCUCCUAAGACUGAGACCAAUCUUGAUCUUCAAUUAAAAACCAUGAUUAUAAAAAUGUGCCGGGCACACACAUUUUUUUUUUUUUACUAUUUAUUAAACCCACACUUUAUUUCCACUCUUUAUCUCUGAUAAAUGUGCAAGGCCGUGGGGACCCCUAAUCAUCCCAGCCAAAGGCCUCUCUUCAGGCCAGCUCCCUUUCCAUGGCACUCCUCACUGAGAGCACUAACAGGGGGAUUUGGCUUAUCUGUAAAGUCCUCUUUCCUGUGGCUGUUUCCGUCCCUAGCCCAGCUUCUAAAAUGUGACUGCUCCCCGGUCCCCAUCCUCAGCCAGCCUCUCCUCCCUCACUAUUGCGCCCAACUCUUACCAAGCCAAUGACUCCUACCAUACCCCAGGCGUGGACGCCUCCCGACUCCUGCGUCUCCACCGCUGACCGAGUCUUUCCAGAGCUCCUGGACAGGCCAGAAUUUCCAACGACACAAGACACCCUCACCUGUAAAAUCUAAGGGUCCUUCACACAUUAACACACCUCCUUUCAACGCCCUUCUCGGAUGCCCCUCAAGCAGUCACCAGUACCGGAAGCCACCAGUGGCCCAACAGGAAAGCCGAGCGGCCCUCCCCAGCGCUGCCGAGGGGACGCCUGCUGGGCCGGGUUUCUGCCGCCCUUUUCGCUGCACCUUCAAUGCCACUGCCUGGGACAGGUCCUCACUGAGCUCCCAGCGACACCCUCCAGCUCAGCCCUCCUCCGUCCCCUCCCUUGCACGCUCUCCCGGCCUCCAGCUGCUCCGUGAGGCAGUCUUUCCACUGAAAAAAAAAAACCUCUGAAUUCCCAGCGACACACAGAGCCGGUCCUGAGACACGUCCGACCCCCUCCUCCUCCGCCUUGCUCUCGCCCCCGCUCCCCAGACAGGCCGCCAUCUUCCUGUGAUGCCGGCGCGGGGGCACUUCGAGUCUUCACUCCUGCCUGUCUCGUCAAAUAUGUCUGGGCCCCCUGGUCUCCGUCUCUGGACCUCACCCCCUUCGUCUCCCCGCAUUGGAUGAGUGUUUCUUGUGCCUCAGGCGCUGUGCUAGCGUCCGUGGUACUGAAGGACGAUGGAGCUCUGUGAGCAGCAGGAAGUGCCAGGUUGAGGAGACAGACAUAAACCACCACAGAAAACGUCUCGCUGGGGCCAGAGCUUGAGGAAGUAUGUACGGAAUGGGACGGUUCCCCCCGAGGAGGGAGUCCUCUCGUCUGCCUUGCAGGCUGGAGUGUAUUGCACGCGGGGCGCAGAUGGAAGGCUGGCCCUGGCAUUAAGGUUCACCAGGUGGAGGAAAAAGCAGGGCAACGCGCUCAGCGUGGACAGAGGAAACCUCUCGGGUGCAGGCAGAACAGGUCAGGAAGGACGAUGCGCUGAGGUGUUCAGUAACCGGGAACAGUCUGGAGGAGCCUGAGGACGGGGUACUGCAGGGCUGGGCGUGUGAGCCACCCAGAGUGAGGCCCCGAACGCGCGGGCACGACUUCGUAUUUCCGCUUCUGGGUGGGCGCUGGGGACCCGUCUUCCUUCCGCCGUUUCUGCCCCCCAGAGGGAGCGCCCCCGGGGCAACCCUGCGGCUUUCCCUCACUCCUCGCCCCUUCCCCAGGGGGCGGUGUGUCUUAACUGACUGGGGAACAGGGAUGAGCAAGCGGGCCAUAUCCUUUCUCAGCGCAGGGAAGCCGGCUUUUCCGAGGCCGGAGAGGAAAGUGCGUCUGCUCCUGGGGCUCAGGAUUGGAAGGCUGUCGUUGGCAUCAGCUGCGGAUACUGAGAACGUGGGCACUCGGUCAUGAAGCGGCUGCUUCUGACUCCACAGCCCUCGUUCUUCCUGCCUGUCUCCUAACUGCUCUGAACCUGGUGGUCGGGGGGAAAUACUGUUCUCUUGGGGCUUCUAAGCGGGGAGGAAGGGAGUCCGACCUGAAUUCUGGAAGACCCCUUUGGCAGCAGAGUGGAGGACGGAUCCGAAGGGCAGGAUGGAGAAGAUGGGAGAGGACGGGGUGGAGCUGGGUGGGUCACAUGGCAGGGAGCCUGACGGCUGAUUCGAGGGGUGACGUCGGGAGGUGGCGGCCGCCUCGCCUCGGGGCUUAGGCUGGGCACCGGAGAGAUGGGAGAUCCCGGGUGACCCCGAGCACACGUGACCGCCUGAGCUGCACCCCAGCUUGUCGGCUGCUCUCUCCAGAGCUCCUCCGGCUCUGCGCGCACACACCGAGAUGAUGUCUGAGCAUCAGUAGUGGGCAGAGGUAACUCCCACGUGCCCUUGGAGGGCCUCCGAGGGGGACCCCGUGGAGGGGGAGCAGGAAAUCUCUAGCCAGACUCUCUGGCUUUGAGCCCUGGCUCUGCCAUGGACGACCUGUGUGACCUUAGGUAAGUUAGGGGGACCUCUCUAUUCCUUUAUCUGGGAAAGAGGGGAUAACAAAGUACUUCCCCUCAAAGUGUGAAGCUCAAAUACGCAAUGUGUAAAAAGUGCUUGGAGCAGCGCCUGGCGCAGGGUAAGCAUGAAUAAAUCUCAUCUCUGCCUUCACCUACCUGUGCAGCUCCACAUCAGGGCAGCUCUGAUGAGCACUUGGCCAGGUGAUGGACUUACAAGGGACCACGCUAAGGGAUGGAGAGACUGAGAAACGGGUCGUGUCCUCGAUAAAGUUACCAUUGCAUAGACACCAAGGUGCAUCAAAAUUCACCAACUUAAGGGGGCGGAUGCUAAGUGUCUAAUCAGUAAAACAGAGUGAAAGUCUCUAAAACUUAGAGACUGAAGGGGCCCGGCCAGCUGGGUGACCAGAGACAGCUCCUUGGACUCGGCCGACCGUGGGGAGACUCUUCUGGCUAUUGAUGCCCCCCCCAGGGGAGGCCUGCAAUAGGCUCUGAUAAGAAGCACCUUCUGCCCACAUCUCAGGAGCCUUGCCUGCUCUAACCUGCCUGUGGUCCCGUUGGUGCCAGGUGAGGGCUUAUGCCUACCCCUGCCCGCCGUGAGUACCCGCUACAGUUCACACAGCUGGGGUGCCCAUGCCAGAGAGAAACGUGAGGAGCAAAGGGUAACAUUUCCUGGCCUGUCUGACACACUCCCCCCCAACCAAUCCUUACAACUAGUCUCACUGUGAUGGAAAAAAUACAUCUGAGCAUGAAUUCUGGGGUUUGAGGACAAAAGAGAUCCUUCUCCCCUUUCACUGUUCAAGAUAAAACAGUACAGGCUCAAGGUGCCGUGUCAGAGUUAGGAUUUCUAACAAGUAAUCCUAGAAAUAGACACCGUGAAAGGCAAUAAAAACGCUUUAAAAAUACAAAGUUCAGUCCUGCCAAAAGGAAAAAACAAACAAAAGGACUUGAAUCUGAUUAAGCCUCUAGAUCCAGCUACCAAUUUAUAGAAAGUAUAGAGGACAAAGAAAUCUGGCAAAUGACAGCAAGGAUGGCAUCAGUAAAACCAGACGGGAAAACCUACAGGACAAAAGAGCUUGUUUCUUCAACAAAUAAACUGCAAAGGAGAGAGCACUAGAGAUGGAGGGAAAUAUGUAGAUUAAAAAGGGCAUGCUAACCAACUGCAAGGAGUAGAUGCUGAUUCAAAUAAACUCAGAAAAUACAAACCUGAAGAAAACAUGAGAAAUGUAAACACUGAUCAGCGACUUAACAGUAUGAAAGAAUGAAUUCUUUUUCCGGUGUGAUAAUGUCACGGUGGCUGCAUUAAACAAAAAAGCAUUCAUGUCUUUUUUUAGAGAGACAUCCUGAAAUAGGAAAGGUGGGCCUGCUUCGGAGUAAGCUGGGCUGGGGAUGGUACGUGCGGAACAGAAGGACACAAGACUGGCCAUUGGUGGGUAACUGCUGAAUCUGGGUGAUCUUAUCUACUUCCACAUGUUUGAAAUUUAUGUGCUAAUAAUAAAAAUUUUUUAAAAGCCUGA